GCACUGUAUCAGCAGCUGUUGGCCCUUGCAAGUUGUCCCAUUCCCAAGGCCAGAAGCCUUAUUCUGACUUUCUCCCUGCCCCAAGGAAAAUCGCCUCACAGUCCUUCCAAUAACCUGCUGCAGGCCCUGCAUCCCCUCCCCGCCCCCAAAAUCAGGCUCACUUCUCAACACCUGCCCCUCACUUUUCCUCUCUGCAGCUAUAUGGCUAGCAGAAAUGGAACCCGUGCAAUUCUUGAGGCUGCCCUAGUUCCUUUCUGCCCCUGAACUGCAAAACAAAGGAACGAGAAAGAGAGGGAAAGAAGUGGGUUUCCUCCCCCACCACCAAGGUAUCACCCCCAAUUCCUCCUCUAAGCAGUGCCCCUCUCAGCGUAUUUUCCUGGGAUGUGGCUCUUCCAUGGCUUGGGGGGAAUUUGGAAGAAUAUCACGACAAAUAGAUUGGAGGUCGAGUGCUCGGAGAGAGUGAAAGAGACACAGAAAAAGAUCACAGAUUGAUCUUGUUUCCUUGUUUUUAAGAUCAAAGAGUGACUGAAGACAAUUAUAAUGAUGAGAAACCCCCACCCUCCCCAUGCAGUUAUCUUAAGACUUUUCAACAGAUGCUAUAUGCAGGCUCCCCUGUGCUCUGAAUUACAUUUUCCUUAGCAACUGAAAGUGUUGCGCACUUCAGUCAAAUCAAAUUUGAAUGGUGAGAAAAUUGUGAUUGCAUUUCACUGACCAGCAUCUUACUCAAAGGAAAUUCUGAUUUGCUCCCUGGGCAGCACUAAUAAAAUGAAAUGCGACGUUGAUUGCUGACUGGAAACUUCUUACAAACUUUUUGUGUAAAACGGAAAUGAAGUUAUGAUUUAUAGUUUCAGUGAUUAGACAGAAUAGAUUAUAGAAACAAGACUUAUUUUGUAAACAUAGUGUAAGAAAUAAAUUUAUAAUUGUACUCAGCUGGUGUAAAGAUCAGAAGCUACUUUUUCAUUUCUAUUUUUCUUUCACCUUAUUUUCUCUUUUCUUGCACCUUUAACUUUCUCUUUGAUUUCUUCAUUUUUUUUCUUGCUUUACAUUAACUUGUGUAAAUUUUUGUCUUCUUUUAAAAAAGGAAAGGAAAAAGAAAAAAAGAGGCUGUGGAGUGUUAAGUUGAAAGAAAAUCUGGCUAUACAACUCACAUCUAUCAAGUAUCCAAAACUGGCACUACACCUGAUGGUCAGCUGCAUGUCCAUAAAUAUUCUUGCUGGCCUUUUAACCAUAGAAGAUUCCUGCUCUUAAUGCCCUGAAGAUAUAACUUCACUUUCACGCCUGGAGAUCCAGUGAAAGUAUGGAGCCAGCUAAUGGUUGCAUUGUUUGUAAUGUAUGAACUGCAUUCUUCCAUGGAUCUUGUUUUAAUACAGAGUACAAGAGCCCAACAUGAUGCCUGGAGCUGCAUAUGGAUCGCAAAGAACUUGAGUGCAGCACCUUUCCUAAAAUUAUUACCAACUUAUGUUUAAAGUGAAAAUUACUAAGUAAAUGACUGGGAAUAUUCAUCUUGGAUUGAAAAAAGAUUUUGGGUAAUGAAGGAAUAAAUUUGGGGGGCAUUGCUUUAGGGAGUUGCCACAAAACUACCGUUAACUAUCUAAAUGAUCUCAACUAGCCUUAUGGCCUAUUUUUAGCUUAUAUGUGCUUUUAUUAAUAAUGUCACAUUGAAAGCCACCAAUUUUUAUGUGAAUAGGCUAUAGAAACUAAUUUACAUUUAAAAAAAACCAGUUGAUACAACUCUGUAAAGUUACUGUAAAGGUAGUCCUUGACUUACCACAAUUGAGCCCAAAAUUCUGUUGCUAAGUGAGUCAGUUGUUAGGUAAAUUUUGCCCCAUUUUAUGACUUUUCUUGCUGCAGUUGUUAAGUGAAUCACUGCUGUUGUUAAGUUAGUAACAUGGUUGUUAAAAUGAAUCUGGCUUCCCCAUUAACUUUACUUGUCAUAGGGUCACAAAAGGUGAUCACAUGACCCUGGGACAUUGCAACAAUCAUCAAUAUGAGUCAGUUGCCAAGCAUCCAAAUUUUGAUCAUGUCACUAUGGGGAUGCUGCAACAGUUUGUGUGAAAAACAAUGACUUUUUUCCAAUGAUGAUGUAACUUUGAACAGUCACUAAAUGAACUAUUUUAAGUCAAGGUCUACCUGUAUUCUUGUAUUUCCCUCACAAUAAUUUAUUUUAAAUGGAUGAAAAGUAUAGCUACCAGAUGCCUUUUUGUUUCCCUAUGAUUACAGAGUAGAUUUUUAUUCAGCGCUUUAAAAGUCAGGUUUUUUUUUAAAUAAUCCAAACUCUUAUUUAUGAUGCUCUAGCACAUAAAAAAAUAUUUUGUUCAUACACAGAUUUCAAGAGUCCUUUUUAAAAAUAUAUUUCCUAAAUUCCACAGUAGUGUUGUCCAUUGAUUACUAAAAGGGUAUAUGAAGAGUGAGACCAAAAACUGCUCAUUUGAAAAUGUCUGAAAUUAUUGUCUAGCAUAAAGAUUAAAUAUUUUAUUUCAUAUGUCCCUCAAAAUUACAGUGGUUCGUACAGAUUUAAAAAACGGAAAUAAAGAUGACAAUGAGUGAAAUAUUAGCAUGUAUGUAGCUUGUAACAAAAAUAAAACAUAGCAUUAAACAAUUUUUAUACUCAUCAAUUCAUGUUUAUUGAAUCACAAUCAUGCUAAAAUGCUGCAAAAUACUGAAAA